UACGGGGGGGGCGAGCGUUGUCCGAAGUUACUGGGCGUAAAGCGCGUGUAGGCGGGUUGUUAAGUCCGCUGUGAAAGCCCGGUGCGCAACGCCGGAGGGUCGGUGGAUACUGGCAGUCUUGAAGUGGCUAGGGGGAAAUGGAAUUACCGGUGUAGCGGUGAAAUGCGUAGAUAUCGGUAGGAACACCAGUGGCGAAGGCGGUUUCCUGGAGCUAACUUGACGCUGAGACGCGAAAGCUGGGGGAGCAAACGGG
rnacentral:rRNA from 1 species